rnacentral:antisense_RNA from 16 species
UAAAGAUACGCUCCUCUGCGUGUUCAUAAGUAAGUAUGAAGAAAUUCUCGUUCAAAAGUUUGUUCUUCAUACUUUUAUUAUAUCA